UAUAAUAAUAGUAUAAGAAGUAUAUCUGUCUUCCAAACAGAAAGUUCACUAAAGCAAGUGAUUAUUAUAU
rnacentral:tRNA from 1 species